AAAUUGAAGAGUUUGAUCAUGGCUCAGAUUGAACGCUGGCGGCAGGCCUAACACAUGCAAGUCGAACGGUAACAGGAAGCAGCUUGCUGUUUUGCUGACGAGUGGCGGACGGGUGAGUAAUGUCUGGGAAACUGCCUGAUGGAGGGGGAUAACUACUGGAAACGGUGGCUAAUACCGCAUAACGUCGCAAGACCAAAGAGGGGGACCUUCGGGCCUCUUGCCAUCAGAUGUGCCCAGAUGGGAUUAGCUUGUUGGUGAGGUAACGGCUCACCAAGGCGACGAUCCCUAGCUGGUCUGAGAGGAUGACCAGCCACACUGGAACUGAGACACGGUCCAGACUCCUACGGGAGGCAGCAGUGGGGAAUAUUGCACAAUGGGCGCAAGCCUGAUGCAGCCAUGCCGCGUGUAUGAAGA
rnacentral:rRNA from 1 species